rnacentral:rRNA from 1 species
GUGCCAGCAGCCGCGGUAAUACAUAGGGUGCGAGCGUUAUUCGGAAUCACUGGGCGUAAAGCGCGGGUAGGUGGUUUGGUAAGUCUGUUGUGAAAGCCCUGGACUCAAUCCAGGAAGUGCAGCGGAUACUACCAGACUAGAGUACUGGAGAGGUGGAUGGAAUUCCAGGUGUAGAGGUGAAAUUCGUAGAUAUCUGGAGGAACAACGGAAGCGAAAGCGAUCCACUGGACAGUAACUGACACUCAACUGCGAAAGCGUGGGGAGCAAACAGGAUUAGAAACCCCCGUAGUCC